rnacentral:rRNA from 1 species
GACGAACGCCGGCGGCGUGCCUAAUACAUGCAAGUCGAGCGCAGGAAACUGACGGAACUCUUCGGAGGGAAGGCAGUGGAAUGAGCGGCGGACGGGUGAGUAACACGUAAGGAACCUGCCUCAAGGAUUGGGAUAACUCCGAGAAAUCGGAGCUAAUACCGGAUAGUUCAUCGGACCGCAUGGUCCGUUGAUGAAAGGCGCUCCGGCGUCACCUUGAGAUGGCCUUGCGGUGCAUUAGCUAGUUGGUGGGGUAACGGCCCACCAAGGCGACGAGGCAUAGCCGACCUGGGAGGGUGAUCGGCCACACUGGGACUGAGACACGGCCCAGACUCCUACGGGAGGCAGCAGUAGGGAAUCUUCCACAAUGGACGAAAGUCUGAUGGAGCAACGCCGCGUGAGUGAUGAAGGUUUUCGGAUCGUAAAACUCUGUUGUAAGGGAAGAACACGUACGAGAGGGAAUGCUCGUACCUUGACGGUACCUUACGAGAAAGCCACGGCUAACUACGUGCCAGCCGCCGCCGUAA